CGCGCGGUGCUGCUGAUCCGGUUCUAGUUUGUGAUGGGCUAAGUUGCUUCUGGAAGGAGGAGAAGGAAGACCUCUGAGCAAACAAGCAAUGCCAUUAGUGUUGGUCUAUGAAAAACAUCCAUAGCUGGGGAAAGGCCAUAACUCUGUAACGGAACAGACACUCUUCAUGUAAAGAGUUCCAGGUUCAACCCUUGUCUUCUCCAGGAUUAGUUGGGAAGAACACCUGCUUCAGAACCUGGGAAGCCACUGCCAAACAACAGGAACAGUACAGAGCUACCUGGAGCAUUGGUCUUCAUCAAACUCUUUCUGGGGAUAAAAUUCAAUUCCAUUGACUUCUAGUUCCUUACGGACC